ensembl:snRNA U6 U6 spliceosomal RNA
UUACUUCUUGCCUCGCCAGUGAAUAUACUAAGAUUAGAAUACUACAAAGAAGAUUAGCAUGCCUCCUGUGCAGGGAUGACAUGCAAAGAUUUGAAGCAUUCCAUAUUUUU